CCUACGGGCGGCAGCAGUGAGGAAUAUUGGUCAAUGGACGGAAGUCUGAACCAGCCAUGCCGCGUGCAGGAAGACGGCUCUAUGAGUUGUAAACUGCUUUUGUACAAGGGUAAACCUGAAUACGUGUAUUCAGCUGAAAGUACUGUACGAAUAAGGAUCGGCUAACUCCGUGCCAGCAGCCGCGGUAAUACGGAGGAUCCAAGCGUUAUCCGGAUUUAUUGGGUUUAGAGGGUGCGUAGGCGGAUUGAUAAGUUAGAGGUGAAAUGUCCGAGCUUAACUCGGGAACUGCCUCUAAUACUGUUGAUCUAGAGAGUAGAUGCGGUAGGCGGAAUGUAUGGUGUAGCGGGGAAAUGCUUAGAGAUCAUACAGAACACCGAUUGCGAAGGCAGCUUACCAAUCUAUAUCUGACGUUGAGGCACGAAAGCGUGGGGAGCAAACAGGAUUAGAUACCCUAGUAGUC
rnacentral:rRNA from 1 species